UACGGGGGGGGGCAAGCGUUGUUCGGAAUUACUGGGCGUAAAGGGCUCGUAGGUGGCCAACUAAGUCGGACGUGAAAUCCCUCGGCUUAACCGGGGAACUGCGUCUGAUACUGGAUGGUUUGAGUUCGGGAGAGGGAUGCGGAAUUCCAGGUGUAGCGGUGAAAUGCGUAGAUAUCUGGAGGAACACCGGUGGCGAAGGCGGCAUCCUGGACCGACACUGACGCUGAGGAGCGAAAGCCAGGGGAGCAAACGGG
rnacentral:rRNA from 1 species